UCCCCUUUUCCCAGUAAUUAAACCCGCCCACCUUCAGUAUACUCUUCGAUACAUCCAAAGUCCAAAGAUCAGUACUACUAUUGGAUACAUCCAGCAAAACCAAAUCUCUUUCUUUUAGCCUCUCAAAGAUUCAUUCCUCCAAAGUCUUCUCUUUCACUCCUAAAAUCCAAAUCUAGAAACCUAUGAUCUUUCUACUUCUAGUGUCUUUCAACUCCUUAUAGAUUCAUUUCAAGGACAGUUGCUGACCUUCCCCAAAUCCCCAAAUUCCAAAAUUAAUUUAACAGUGAAUUCUUCAAUUUUAGGUUUAAUGUGUCGUCUUCUGCUGGUGUUUUAAGUGAUAUUGGUAUUGUUGAUAUUCCUUCGUCUUUGAAUUGGAGAAAGAAAAGAGUUGUUACUACAGUCAAAAAGGCAAUUGUGGUCUAUUUUCAGGUUUCUUCAGUAAAAAUUCUGCAUCACAGGGAGUACAUGAACGAUCUGAUGAUUCUACCACUCAUGAAGUAGCUGAACAAAUUGAGGAACAAGGCAUAUAUAUAUAAAUUGUAAUCAUAAACUUAACUAAAAAUAGUGAUUAAUGAUUAUCUUUGUUUUGUACUAUUGCGGGCCCCUCCUCGCCAAAAAGAAAAAAAGGUGGUACUCAAAUGCCAAGUGUUCAUGGUAGAAAGGAGCGUAAAAUAAUCUUUCUAAAUGAGUAUAAUCAACCUGUUAUUCCUACUAAAGAGGUUGUAAAAGAGUUGGGUAGCUUCCUCGGCACAUUGGCAAGGAGUGAGACUUUUUACCCUCUUAAUGUAUUUAAUUGGAGGAAACUAGACACAAAAGAUGAUAUGUGGAAAUAUAUCAAGGAAAAAUAUGACAUUCCUGACGAGGCGAAACAAUGGGUUUUUGAAUCAGUUUGUAGUGCUUGGAGAAAGUAUAAGAGUCAAUUGAAGGCAACCCACUUCACAACCUAUGAGAAUGAUGAGCUUCGAAUGGAGGAUAGGCCAAUAGAUGUUCCAGAAUCUCACUUUAAGGAUCUUCUUAAAUAUUGGAACUCCGAUCCACACAAGGAAAUGUCCGAAACUAAUACAGAGAAUCGAAGUAAGUUGAAGUGUCCACACACUGCUGGCAGAACACCUUUGCUCUAAUUCACGAGGAAAAAAAGAAGGAAGUCUCUAAUACUUUAGAUACUCUGUCAAGUAAGGACAUCUUUGUGGCUACAAGAAAAAGAAAACUUGGCCGAGUAUACAAAAGCUCAUAUGACAAUACGAUUAGUAAAAUUGCUAAAAUGGAGAGAAUACAAUCAACUCAGGAAAGUGAAGAUGGCAGUCAUUCAGUUGAUGCUUUUGCUUCAGUCAUGGGACAUGAACAUCCAGGUCGCAUGAGAUUAUAUGGACGAAGACUUUGUUAAAAGGGCAAAAAGGGAAUCUUGGAUCUUCUUUAGAUGCUGAUGAGAGGAUGCAGCAGAAAAUAGAGGAAAUGAAAGAGAGGAUGCAACAAAGAAUGCAUGAAAAGUUGAACGAACAAAAGGAUGCUAUGGAACAAAAUAUUACAAUGAUCGUCAUCGCACGACUUUAGCGUUUGAAUCUAGAUUUGCGACUUGAUCCUGACAUGUUAAGGCUUAGUGCACGUUCACCUGUGGAUGCUUCCUCUGCACAACAAGCUGUUGUUCAACUAAACAGUCGACCAUCUGCUGGUAGUAACAAUCAAGGUGGAGUAGAUCAAGAAAUGGACGAUGAAGAACUAGACCUUACUUGAGAUGAAUUUUGAAUUGUUAUCGAUGAAUGUUCUAGGAAUCUUUUGUUACCAAUAUUUUUUGAAAUUUAUUUACACUCUUGAAAUGUACUAAACUUAUGCACUCAUGAGGUAGAACAUUUGCUUUAUGGAUAUUAUUUGCUUGAUGGAUAAUUUUGUAUUA